rnacentral:rRNA from 1 species
AUUGAACGCUGGAGGCAUGCUUUACACAUGCAAGUCGAACGGCAGCGCGGGCUUCGGCCUGGCGGCGAGUGGCGAACGGGUGAGUAAUGCAUCGGAACGUGCCCAGUAGUGGGGGAUAGCCCGGCGAAAGCCGGAUUAAUACCGCAUACGACCUGAGGGUGAAAGCGGGGGACCGAAAGGCCUCGCGCUAUUGGAGCGGCCGAUGUCGGAUUAGCUAGUUGGUGGGGUAAAGGCUUACCAAGGCGACGAUCCGUAGCUGGUCUGAGAGGACGACCAGCCACACUGGAACUGAGACACGGCCCAGACUCCUACGGGAGGCAGCAGUGGGGAAUUUUGGACAAUGGGGGCAACCCUGAUCCAGCCAUGCCGCGUGCGGGAAGAAGGCCUUCGGGUUGUAAACCGCUUUUGUUCGGGAAGAAAUCCUCUGGGCUAAUACCCCGGGGGGAUGACGGUACCGGAAGAAUAAGCACCGGCUAACUACGUG